rnacentral:lncRNA from 1 species
AACGGACUGGCUGGGACCUGGCAUGGGUCCAGUCCUGCCACCACUUUGCUCCUGGACAGGGUCAUCUGUGCCUCUUUUCAUCCGGGCAAAUAAGAUUCGACGAUGCAGGAAUCUCUGGGACUUUGCUCCUAGGACUGCCCGGGAAUCUUGACCCAUCGCUAAGUAAGAUGGUGUUUAUAAACACAGUUCUGGAGGCUGAAAGUCCAAGAUCACGAUGCUGGCAGAAUCGGUGUCUGGUG